ensembl:lncRNA
AUGGAGCCGAGGAGCCACAGUCCCCCCCAGAGCACCCCCCAGGACCCCCCUGACCUGCCACCAGUUGGGGUCAUCCUGGUUGACGAUCUGCAGCAGGUCCCCGGCCAUGAACUUGAGCCCGGCCUCCUUGCAGGGGAUGAGGCUGUCGGUGGCCGGGUCGUAGUCGAAGUGACACUUGACGAACACCUGAGGACCGGGGCAUCAGCGGGGGGGACCCCCCCGCACCCCCGGGAUCCUCCCUGUGCCCUCCCCGGGCCGCUCCGCGGUGUCUCAGUGUCCCCAGCGCCCGUGUCACACACUCCCCGCUCCGGGGCGUCCCCGCCGUGCCCGGCUCAGCCAGGCCCGCACGGCCCCCGCGCACACCCAGAGGGCUCCGGCCGCCGCCGCCGCGCCCCACGCGACCACCACGGCGACCCCCAGGCACAGCCCCACGGCCACGGCCAGGCACACCAGGGUGCCCAGCGCCGCCAGCGCCGCGCCCGCGAUGGCGCACAUGGGGACGGGCAGCGACACUCGCCCGUGUGGCCCCAGAGGCAGCGGGGGGACAGCGCUGGAGGGGACAGUGCUGGAGGGGACAGUGCUGGAGGGACAGCCCUGGAUGGGACAGUCCUGGCAGGGACAGCGCUGGAGGGGACAGUGCUGGAGGGACAGCCCUGGAUGGGACAGUCCUGGCAGGGACAGCCCUGGAGGGGACAGCGCUGCUUUGUCCCCUCGGAGACGGGGGUGGCUGGCACGGGGUGGGGAGCGGCAGCACAGGGCGAGUGUCACCCGGCACCCAGGGCUGUGCGGGGACGGGGACAGGGCAGGGACCAGCAGGGGCCGCAGGGAGGGCACGGGGGGGGACACGGGGGUCCCACCAGCCAAGGGACACGUGGCACGGACAGGGGGACAGCGGCUCGUGGGGCUCGGGGGACAACAGGGGGAUGGGGACACAGGGAGGGCAGGGGGAGCUGUGGGCAGGGUGGUGAGUGCGGGAUGCAGGGAGGGAUGCGGGGUUGGAUGCAGGUGGGAUGUAGUUUGGGAUGUAUUUGGGAUGUAGUUUGGGAUGCAGGUGGGAUGUAG